UGCCAGACUCCUACGGGAGGCAGCAGUGAGGAAUAUUGGUCAAUGGCCGAGAGGCUGAACCAGCCAAGUCGCGUGAGGGAAUAAGGCCCUACGGGUCGUAAACCUCUUUUGCCGGGGAGCAAGGGCGGGGACGUGUCCCGGCCCGGAGAGUACCCGGAGAAAAAGCAUCGGCUAACUCCGUGCCAGCAGCCGCGGUAAUACGGAGGGUGCAAGCGUUGUCCGGAAUCAUUGGGCGUAAAGAGUUCGUAGGCGGUAUGUUAAGUCUGGUGUUAAAUGCAGAAGCUCAACUUCUGUUCGGCACUGGAUACCGGCAAACUAGAAUGCGGUAGAGGUAAAGGGAAUUCCUGGUGUAGCGGUGAAAUGCUUAGAUAUCAGGAGGAACAUCGGUGGCGUAAGCGCUUUACUGGGCCGUAAUUGACGCUGAGGAACGAAAGCCAGGGUAGCAAAUGGGAUUAGAUACCGUGUACG
rnacentral:rRNA from 1 species